rnacentral:misc_RNA from 1 species
GAAAUGCGAUAAGUAAUGUGAAUUGCAGAAUUCAGUGUAUCAUCGAAUCUUUGAACGCACAUUGCGCCCGCCAGUAUUCUGGCGGGCAUGCCUGUCCGAGCGUCAUUUCAACCAUCAAGCCCCCGGGCUUGUGUUGGGGACCUGCGGCUGCCCGCAGGCCCUGAAAACCAGUGGCGGGCUCGCUGUCACACCGAGCGUAGUAGCAAUCACCUCGCUCAGGGCGUGCUGCGGGUUCCGGCCGUUAAACAGCCUUACAAAACCCAAGGUUGACCUCGGAUCAGGUAGGAAGACCCGCUGAACUUAAGC